GAUGAACGCUGGCGGCGUGCCUAAUACAUGCAAGUCGGACGAAGGAUGCUUUGCUUGCAUCGCAUCCUUAGUGGCGAACGGGUGAGUAACGCGUUGGUGACCUGCCCCAAAGCGAGGGAUAGCAACUGGAAACGGUUGGUAAUACCUCAUAUGAUCUGGCGGAUUAGAAUCGCUUGAUUAAAGGAGUAAUCCACUUUGGGAGGGGCCCGCGUCCCAUCAGCUAGUUGGUAGGGUAAUGGCCUACCAAGGCGAUGACGGGUAGGGGACCUGAGAGGGUGACCCCCCACACUGGAACUGAAACACGGUCCAGACACCUACGGGUGGCAGCAGUAGGGAAUAUUGCUUAAUGGGCGAAAGCCUGAAGCAGCAACGCCGCGUGUGCGAUGAAGGUCUUCGGAUUGUAAAGCACUUUUAGAGGGGAUGAGGAAGGACAGUACCCUCUGAAUAAGCCUCGGCUAACUACGUG
rnacentral:rRNA from 1 species